ACUAUUUUCUGUCCUAGACGCGUUUGCGCUCUAUGUUAAGAAAUUACGUGGCUAAUUCGAGUCCAACUCGCCACUCGGUUCUGUUUACACUUUUCUCAGAGCAAGAAAAUAUCGGUGUUACCCCUCAGGCUUUUGCAAAUUAUUUAUGUGGAAUUUGAAAACGAAAAACAACAAUUGAAGCUGGGACUGCGUUCGAGCAACAAAGUGGCGGGAACAGAAGUGAAGAUCAGCCCAGAUAUGUCUACUGCAAUCACAACGAACGGUCACAACACCAGUACAGAAGAUUUUACGAAACAUGUUUUUGGUGGUCAGGCAUCCU
rnacentral:lncRNA from 1 species